CUACCAAGAAAACCCGAACAUCACAUAAUAUAUACUCAGCUUCACAUGCGUAGGCAACAGGCAGACGCACUUGUUAGGCGGCGAAUCCCGUAGGUGUGGGUUGGGACACGGAACUACACUCGCCAUAUCACUAGUAGAAAAAUCGACAUGUGCUUCCCUUCAAGUGCGGGUUAUUUAGUAAAUUGGCAGCACUUGAGAUCACUAAAAAAAAAGAAAAAAAUACAUUAUCACAAGUGCGGGUCAUUAUAGAAAAUUGGCAGCACUUGAGUUUAAGUGCGGGCUUUGAAACUCAAGUGCGGGAUCAUUUCACAAGUGCCGCACAAAAGUUUCUAAAAUUACAAUUGCAAAAAAAAAAGACAAUUCUAAAAUUAAAGAAGCCUCAUAUUUCUAUCCCUGAUUCUUCUCCCUCUUCACCUUCGUUUUCUCGUCGUCGUCGCUUCCUCACUGCCAAACCUCUUCGUCGCUGCGUAGUUGUUCAUGGAUGUUGUAGGGUUGAUUGUUGCAGUAGCUCCACCCUCCAUCUCUCUUGUCUCUGCGCUCUCCCUCGUCUCCAGUCUGUACCGCCGCCGCCAACGGUGGUCCUGAAUCCAAUAUCAACUAGGCAGAGAUGAAGAAUGAACCAGAAUCUUCGAGUCGCCCUAAUUUGAAGAAAUCGUUCAACUAUCCUGCUGAAUUCAAGUUGCCCAUCUGCUGCUGCUCUUGUGCAUCAUUUUAUGCGUCACCAAUAUUGGUGCUUCUUUCUUUAAUGAUGCACGUCUCAUAUCAGCAAGUUCUUUUUAGGUCAACUAGUUCCAUGGUACUUAGUCUCGUGGUAGUCUACAGAGCCAUGCAGUGUUGCAGCAGCUGGUGUGGGUGUUUAGGGGCGAAUUGUGCUUUGUUCUGGUCAGCAGUAGAAGGAUGUUGGGUGUUGGUUAUAGCUGGUUGCUUAAACUCAAUUGCAAGUUUGCAAUGCUACCAGAAAAAGGGUCUUUAAAGUUAGAUGUCGCAAACGCGUAGCUGCUGAUUGUUGAGGUUUGUGCCGAUUCAAACGCAGAUUGUUGCAAACUCUGUUGUCCAAAUGAUUAUUGCGCUGGCAUUCAUAAAGAUUAGCUUGCUUUACGUGGAGCUUAAGAAGAUUCACGAGUUCACCAGAUCAGAACAGCAGUUGUGAACUGAUCUGCUGUGAACUGAUGCUACAGAUUUGUUGUGAACUGAUUCUGGGAUGGUGAACGAAAGUCGUAGCAUUCAUUGUCACUUAUUGAGGUCAGAUCUCUUUUCGGAGUCUCAGAGGAUUCAAUAAACAAUCCAAACCCGAACCCGGGGUAUUCCAGAUGCUCGCACAUAUCUUUUGGCUUUGAAGGAGAUACGACUCAAGGUAACAAGCUGGUUGACAUUUUUCUGUUUAGGGUAACAAGCUGGUUGACAUGGUUUAUAUUUCUUUUGUGCGAAAGCGUUAUCCAUCUUACACAAUCUGCAAUCUCGACAAGGCGAUCAUCCACUAGUGGAUGAUCGCCUUGUCGAGAUUGCUGUAUCAACAAAUCAAGAACUUCGUUUUCUUUCUAUGCAAGGUGUUUGCAUGACAUCUUCGCUAUUUGGUAAAUAUGAAGAUGGGGACAUCGUGAAUAAGUUACAAGAGAUGUAUGAGGUACUCAAAAAUUCGAGGGAGGAGCCUUUCACGAUUGAAGAGAUAAAUGAAGUUCGAGAAAAGUUGGCAAACUUCAUUUCUAG